rnacentral:rRNA from 1 species
GACGAACCGUGCGAACGUUAUUCGGAAUCACUGGGCUUAAAGCGCGUGUAGGCGGCCCGGAGCAUCGUCGGCUGAAAUCCCCCGGCUCAACCGGGGAACGGGCCACGAGAUGUCCGGGCUGGAGGGGGGUAGGGGGAGCCGGAACUCACGGUGGAGCGGUGAAAUGCGUUGAGAUCGGAAGGAACGCCCGUGGCGAAAGCGAGGUCCUGGACGCCUACUGACGCUGAGACGCGAAAGCCAGGGAGCGAACGGG